rnacentral:rRNA from 1 species
CCUACGGGGGGCUGCAGUGGGGAAUAUUGGACAAUGGGCGAAAGCCUGAUCCAGCCAUGCCGCGUGUGUGAAGAAGGCCUUCGGGUUGUAAAGCACUUUCAGUGGGGAAGAAAGCCUUGGGGCUAAUACCCUCGAGGAAGGACAUCACCCACAGAAGAAGCACCGGCUAACUCCGUGCCAGCAGCCGCGGUAAUACGGAGGGUGCGAGCGUUAAUCGGAAUUACUGGGCGUAAAGCGCGCGUAGGCGGUCUGAUAAGCCGGUUGUGAAAGCCCCGGGCUCAACCUGGGAACGGCAUCCGGAACUGUCAGGCUAGAGUGCAGGAGAGGAAGGUAGAAUUCCCGGGGUAGCGGUGAAAGGCGUAGAGAUCGGGAGGAAUACCAGUGGCGAAGGCGGCCUUCUGGACUGACACUGACGCUGAGGUGCGAAAGCGUGGGUAGCAAACAGGAUUAGAUACCUAGUAGUC